CUGUUGAAGAGAGGAAGAAAAUGGAACAAUGUAUUUUAUUAUAUAAAGCUUAAAUAUGCUAAAAACUGUGUUAAAACUCUGAAUGCCAUAGACAUGUAUCGUAUAGUUUAAUGCUUUAGCAAUAUAAACAGGAUGUAUAACAUAAAUCCUUACAUGGGUGCUCAUAAAGACCCGUGAUGCAAAGUACGCACUUCCUCUUUCGAGGACUUGAACUCUCUAUGCACUUCCCUUUUCGAGGAGAACAUCUGUUAUGUAUUUCCUCGCUGGAAGUGAACAGUUAAACACAACAACGAAGAAGGACACCUCUAAACGCGCCAGCUUGCACAACAAGCAUGUGACAAACCACGUGUCAGACCAUGUGACAAACCGCGGGAAAAAAGAGGAUAAAAGAAGACUGAAAAACACUGGAGGGCAGUUCCUCUUCGAACCCAGUUUGAACUUGAACUCUCCAGCUUGUUUAGCAAGCAACGGAAGACGAUCGUAUUACUUACUCGUAUUGAGGCAAAGAUCUCGGAUAUAAUAUGUAUCUGGGCAAAACGCAUUUCAUUUUUUAUUGAUGUGUGGUGUUGUAACUUGUGAAACUUUAAUAAAACUACCUGUUCACAUUUGUGAUAGGAAACUAAAGUCCAUGUAGCCCUUCUGAUUAUUGUUGAAUAGGUGACAAUUCAGACGGCACUGUAAACCUGUUCCCACAUAGCUUGAGUCCUGAGUCCAGUCUGAUUCCAGUGUCCUGUUCCUUGGCUGAGGAUCAAUCCCUGACGGAGUCUUGCAGAGACACGAGAGAGAACAACAGGUGCCUAUUCAAGAUCAAUCCGGACUAGAGUGGAGAGGAAGGAAUACAAACACAAACAGCACUCGAUAAAGAUUUCAUGAAGUUUGCUGACGACACGACCGUCAUCGGCC